UACAGAGGGUGCAAGCGUUGUUCGGAAUUAUUGGGCGUAAAGAGCUCGUAGGCGGCUUGUCACGUCGGGUGUGAAAGACCGGGGCUUAACUCCGGUUCUGCAUUCGAUACGGGCUAGCUAGAGUGUGGUAGGGGAGAUCGGAAUUCCUGGUGUAGCGGUGAAAUGCGCAGAUAUCAGGAGGAACACCGGUGGCGAAGGCGGAUCUCUGGGCCAUUACUGACGCUGAGGAGCGAAAGCGUGGGGAGCGAACAGG
rnacentral:rRNA from 1 species